GAAGGAGCACAGCAGGAGGCCCGGGAGAAAGCAAUGCCCUGCACAGCCCCUGCCGGUCGGGAGACCCACAAAUCCCAGUCUCAAAGAGAUGACAAGCUCUAGAGAAUUAUCUAAUCAUAUAAAGUCAUUUGAAACUACUCAGAGGCCGUAUCCGAGCCUUCCAGAGCAACAGGAUGCAUUUAUAACCCAUCAAACACUCCCUAGGAUUUCCUUUCCCAAAUUCCCGAUUCCUUCCGAUUCCAGAGGCCAUCUUAGGCAUCUCAGUCCUCAAACCCCUAAAAUUCCCUUCUUGCAUCUCCUGGGCCACACUUACCAUUUCCCUUCCUCGGUUACCCUCUAGUGUGAGGAACCUGCCACCCUGUCCCCCACCACACACAUACACACCAGUACAGAAGUUCCUUUUUAUGUAGGAGGAAGAUAAUUGGAUGAAGGAUAUUGGGUGAAGGAUCAUAGAAUUCUCUUGAAAAGGCCAGGGAAUAGUAUUUGGUUAAUUUGGUUUGUUAUGCAUAGGAGACAAGCUUUUUCACGGCGUUUGGGUGACGUGUGUAGGGGUGGGCUCAGAAGCCCAGCUGAAAACAGAGACAUGGAAUGGCUGCUAGAAAUGACAGGAUUCUAGCUGCAGGGGGUGUUGGUGGUUCUGUUUGUAUGUUUGUACCUGGCCAACAGAGCAAGACUCUGCCUCAAAAAAAAAAAAAUUAUUUGAUAAGAACUGUCGUCUCUUUCCCUCUCCCAAGGAGGUGGCGGCCAUUUGCUGAUGGGGAAUUUUACUCUGAUAGAACUUCCUUAUGUGGGUAAAUGGGUGGGGUGCCUCAAGGAUAGCGGCAUUCACAUCAGAAGGAAAAAACUAUUUCCCAACUCCUCUCCUCUUUGGUCCCUGCCAGUACUGUCUUCACUGACUAACAAGACAGAACGGAUCAUCUUCCAAUAGCAGCCCUCUGCUUGUUCCCAAAUUCUAUUUGAAUAUCUCAAGCACGACUCU
rnacentral:lncRNA from 1 species